AUGAAAAAUGGAUGGAAGUGGAGAACACAGUAUGUUAAGAGAAAUGAACUAGACAAGAAAGACAAAAGAAAUCUGAAUUGCAGCUGGAUGUGGUGGUGUGGACCUAUGAUCCCAGAACUAUGGAAGCUGAGGCAGAAGAAUCUCAAACGUCCAAGUUCAAGUUCUAAGCCAUCCAGAGCUACAGAGCAACAGCCUACAAAGAGUUCCAGGAGAUGGAGUGCAAAGACGGUAAGGACUAAUGGAUGA
rnacentral:lncRNA from 1 species